GGCUUAAAACCCAUUGUAUUAAUAGUCGCAGCUAGAAUGACACCGAUACAAACCCAAACGAAUUGAGGUGAUUCACGUGCUAUUACAUUGAACAUUGUCGCUCAUCGACGAUGAGCCUAGGAAGCUAUAAUCUAGCCCUACAUAGAGAUAAUUUUGCUUGAAAACUUCUGUCGCCAAGACGCUCAAUCGCGGUAUGACAGAAAGUGUUCACUAUCUAGAUGUAAAAGACAUAUCAUAAUCUGCAAGCAUCAAAACCUACUUAGUUCCUAGAAACCUACAUAGGGAUUAGUUGGAAAUAAACUAGUAAAACUAAUUUAAAACCAUAGAGGCCCAAAAUAUGGGCUUAGAAAUUAGAAAAAAACUAAGGAAAGUAAUUAACAUAGAAGAAAGCAAACUAGGGCCCGAAAGGAAGCCCUAGCCCAACUUCAGCCCAUUUUGAGUCCAAGCCCAGAUCUGAUUAGAUGGGGCAAAACCAGUUCUACCAGCCCAGAUCUCAACCCCGCCACCGCCCUCUCGCCACCCUGAAGCCGGACCUGCAACUCGUCCCGUCGCCGUCCAAACCUGCCGACGACCGUCAACAGCCACCAGUCGCCGCUUCAUUCUAGGAGAAAUCACAAAGUGAAACGAGAUUAAAGUAUCCAACAUCAAACCUACAAAACCUUGCCCGACCAAGAGAUCAGACAGAGAUUGCCUGAUGUCGAGACCCUCCUAUCUUCGAUCAAGCCUUGCCUACUCUAAAACGUCCUCCAAUCUCCACUUUCACUCGUUCCCGGGGCGGUUGAAAUCUUCAGCCAUAGAGGAAAGGAAGAGCCUACCCAAGCAUCUCCGAGCCAAGGACUUAGCUUAACCCGUCCGGCCGAACCUCGCGUACACCUGCAAGGUCAGAGACCGUCGCUGGCGGCGUGGCGCAGCCGGACAGGCGCGAUUUGUCUCUGUGAGUUCGCUCUCUCCCUAGGGUUAGAGAGGUGCGGCGCUUUGCGUAUAUGUUGACUUUAGCUACGACGAGGAUGAUUGGUUUAGGUAAGGAGCGUGACGGUUUAUACUACUUGGUGGCUUUAGCGAUGAAGAGAUCCUCCACCGACCCUUCUCCAAACCUCAUCAACAAACCAGCCUGCAACCUCACCACCUCCUCCACUGAUCUUUGGCAUAACCGCUUAAGACAUGUUUCCCUUUCUCGUCUCAAUUUCAUUGCCAAGAACUUUUUAAUUAUUCAUGUCAA